rnacentral:rRNA from 1 species
UACGUAGGGGGCGAGCGUUGUCCGAAGUUACUGGGCGUAAAGCGCGCGUAGGCGGCUCUUUAAGUCUGGUGUGAAAGGUUCAGGGCUCAACCCGAACAGUGCACUGGAUACUGGAGAGCUUGAGUUAGGGAGAGGAGAGUGGAAUUCCUGGUGUAGCGGUGAAAUGCGCAGAUAUCAGGAAGAACACCCGUGGCGUAAGGCGG